rnacentral:tRNA from 1 species
GCCGAAGUGGCGGAAUUGGCAGACGCGCUGGAUUCAAAAUCCAGUGGCCGCAAGGUCGUGUGGGUUCGAGUCCCACCUUCGGUAC